GACGAACGCUGGCGGCGUGCCUAAUACAUGCAAGUCGAACGCAGUGGGGACAGGUUCGUAACACGUGGGUAACCUCCCAUCAGAGGGGAUAACACUUGGAAACAGGUGCUAAACCGAUACUGAUGGAUGGACCCGCGGUGCAUUAGCUAGGUGGUGAGGUAACGGCUCACCAAGGCCACGAUGCAUAGCCGGACUGAGAGGAUGAUCGGCCACACUGGGACUGAGACAAGGACCAGACUCCUAAGGGAGGCAGCAGUAGGGAAUAUUCGGCAAUGGACGAAAGUCUGACCGAGCAACGCCGCGUGAGUGAAGAAGGUUUUCGGAUUGUAAAGCACUGUUGUUGGAGAAGCGGUAUCUAACCAGAAAGCCACGGCUAACUACGUGCCAGCCGCCGCGGUAAUAC
rnacentral:rRNA from 1 species